rnacentral:rRNA from 1 species
UACGUAGGUGGCAAGCGUUGUCCGGAUUACUGGGCGUAAAGAGCGCGCAGGCGGUCGAUUUAGUCGCGUGUGAAAGCCCCCGGCUCAACUGGGGAGGGUCACGCGAUACUGAUCGACUCGAAGGCAGGAGAGGGUAGUGGAAUUCCCGGUGUAGUGGUGAAAUGCGCAGAUAUCUGGAGGAACACCGGUGGCGAAGGCGGCGUUCUGGACCGACACUGACACUGAGGAGCGAAAGCAGGGAGCAAACGGG